CUUUUUAGAAAUUUGAAUUUCAGUUUGAAUUCCCAUCAAUUCUGAAUUUAGCAAACAGUUUGAGCACUUUCCCUCAGAGGGCGCCAGAGGACUCCUGACUCCACAAGUACUACAGUAGGCUGGUGGCUACGAUGGUCGAAGUGGUCCUUUAACCCCUUAAGGACGUGUGACUUGUCAUGAUUCCCUUUUAUUCCAGAAGUUUGGUCCUUAAGGGGUUAAUCUAG